rnacentral:lncRNA from 1 species
ACUUGCCCCUGGAAUCGGGCACGAAAGACAAGACUUUCUUGAGCACAAGGUCCCUCGGAACACACGAGAUUUGACCUCCUUGUCGAAUGCUUUUUCACUCUCUGCUGAUAUGACUGACCAUGACACAUGGCAGUUGAUCUCUUCUUUUCGAUCGAAUUCAGCAUCAGCCAACUUGGGACUUUGAGGGUGCUAUCUUCUCUUUUGUUUUUUCUUUCUUUUGAUUUUG